GGGCUUCACACGUCAUACAAUGGUGCAUACAGAGGGUUGCCAAGCCGCGAGGUGGAGCUAAUCCCAGAAAAUGCAUCGUAGUCCGGAUCGUAGUCUGCAACUCGACUACGUGAAGCUGGAAUCGCUAGUAAUCGCGGAUCAGCAUGCCGCGGUGAAU
rnacentral:rRNA from 1 species